AACGCUGGCGGCGUGCUUAAUACAUGCAAGUCAACUUGACUUUAGAUAGCAAUAUCGAAAAGUAGGGUGGCGCACGGGUGCGUAACGCGUAGGUAAUCUGCCCUGAGGUCUGACAUAACCCGUCGAAAGGCGGGCUAACAUCAGAUGAUAUAUAAUCACGACAUCGUGGAAAUAUCAAAUCUUCGGAGCCUUGGGAUGAGCCUGCGUCUGAUUAGGUAGUUGGCGGAGUAAUAGCCCACCAAGCCUACGAUCAGUAGCUGGUCUGAGAGGAUGAUCAGCCACACUGGAACUGAGACACGGUCCAGACUCCUACGGGAGGCAGCAGUAAGGAAUAUUGCUCAAUGGGGGGAAACCCUGAAGCAGCAACGCCGCGUGAAGGAUGAAAUACUUUUGUAUGUAAACUUCUGUAAGAUGGGAAAAAUAUUCUCCUCGGGAGAAUUGAUUGUACCAUCAGAGUAAGCCCCGGCUAACUACGUG
rnacentral:rRNA from 1 species